rnacentral:snRNA from 1 species
UUGCUUUAGCAGCACAUACACUAAAAUGGGGAUGAUACAGAGAUUAGCAUGGACCCUGCUCAGGGAUGCAAAUUUGUGAAUCAUUUCAUGUUUUU